rnacentral:rRNA from 1 species
AGUGAACGCUGGCGGUAGGCCUAACACAUGCAAGUCGAACGGCAGCACAGUAAGAGCUUGCUCUUACGGGUGGCGAGUGGCGGACGGGUGAGGAAUACAUCGGAAUCUACUUUUUCGUGGGGGAUAACGUAGGGAAACUUACGCUAAUACCGCAUACGACCUACGGGUGAAAGCAGGGGAUCUUCGGACCUUGCGCGAUUGAAUGAGCCGAUGUCGGAUUAGCUAGUUGGCUGGGUAAAGGCCCACCAAGGCGACGAUCCGUAGCUGGUCUGAGAGGAUGAUCCGCCCAACUGGAACUGAGACACGGUCCAGACUCCUACGGGAGGCAGCAGUGUGGAAUAUUGGACAAUGGGCGCAAGCCUGAUCCGGCCAUACCGCGUGGGUGAAGAAGGCCUUCGGGUUGUAAAGCCCUUUUGUUGGGAAAGAAAAGCAGCAGGUUAAUACCCCGCUGUUCUGACGGUACCCAAAGAAUAAGCACCGGCUAACUUCGUG